GUUGUGAACUCAAUGGAGACAUCUGCUACUAUGAAUGAUAAGGAGGAUGAGACUAGUGAUAUUCACAUUGACAAGCGACGUCGGAGUACUAGAAGUGUAAUUCCACCUAAAAGGUUGAACAAUUACUUUUGGGCAGGAAGAAAGCCACGUGUGCAAAGCGAUGGUUAGUUACGGAAGUUGUAUAAAAGUGUGAAAACGUGGGUAGGAAAGGGUAGGCAGUUAAGUAUGAUUCUGAAAGUUCUCUCUCUUCUUCUAUCUUCUCAACCCAAUUCUAGGCUUCUAGUUUCAGAUUUCAAGUGUAUUUCCUUGUAUCAGUGUACUUACAGUUCCUUUGUUUGUGUCCUGUUGUAUUGUAAUUGUAGUCAGUAAAACAUAUCAGUUCAUAUAUAUAUAUAUAUAAGUGUUUGUUUGUAUUGUAAAAGUUGGAAGAGGACCAAAAACUCAAGUUCCUCGAAGACUCCAUACGGGUGGUGAAAGAAUCAUUCUCGAGUGAUAUCUCUGAAAUUCGAUCUAUGUUGAAAGAGGUGGUGGGUUAUGUGAUGUCGCUAGGUUCUCAAAAUAGUACUCCUGUAGUGGCAACAUCUCGACCACGUCAAACUACUGAAGUUUAUGGAGGACAUACACAGACACCUCCUACUUUGCGACACAAACCUGCUUCGGUUGAAUUAGGACGAUUCCAUGGAGUGAAUCCUGAAUCAUGGGUCUUCCAAGCAGAGUGCUACUUUGAAUUUUAUGGAAUCACGGAGGAUUAUAAGUUAACACUAGCAUCAUUCUACUUGGAUGGUGAUGCAUUUGAAUGGUACAGAUGGCUGUUUCGCAAUAAACAGUUAGUUAAUUGGGAGCAUUUCACUGAGAAACUGCUGGUCCGAUUUCAGAAACGAGAUCUAGAGGCACCAGAGGGUCGACUUGCUAAACUUCGUCAGACCACUACGGUGGCUGAAUACCAGAGUCGUUUCGAAGCGGUUUUUAAUGAGACAAUGCAUUUUCCAGAUCAGGUAUUAGCACAUUUUUUUACUUCUGGACUGAGACCUGAUAUCAAAACGGUUGUUUUAAUUCGUGAGCCCACAAAAUUAAAUGAAGCUAUACGUUUAUCCCAUUUAUAUGAGCAAAAGAUCCAACUUGAACGGGGCUCCUUUAAGCCUGCUUUCAGUAAGGCUCUACCACUUCUGUCAACUCCCACUCAUCCUUAUACAGUCUCAAAGUCCUCCAUCUCGAAUCAAAUAGCUUCAGUUGCCCAAACUGCAUCAAAUCGUCCGCCCAUGAGAUGCCUUUCCCCUGCAGAGUUACAAAGUCGACAAGAACGUGGUCUUUGUUAUUCUUGUGAUGAAAAAUACUCUCUUGGUCACAACUGUAAGUCACUUUCCCAACUUCUACUGUUAUCUGAAGAGUCUGAGGCUGAAGUGACCUUACCAGAUCAAUUUGUGUCGGAUGAUGUCUUAGCGGAGGAAUUACAAUGUUUGGAGGUUCAAGAACAGUCAGCUAUUUCAUAUCAUGCUUUAUCUGGAGGAAAUUCUUUCACUACUCUCCAAUUUACUGGUCAUGUUAAUGGUUCACCGGUACAAGUACUUGUGGAUAAUGCUAGUACACAUAAUUUUAUUCAGGCGAGAAUGGCAAACUUUCUUCAGUUGGAGACUGAACCAACGCCAAGCUUUUCAGUGGUGGUAGGAAGUGGACAACGAUUAUGAUGUGAGGGAGUGGCUAAAAAAAUUCCAAUAACCAUACAGGGCAACAAAAUAGUGGAAGAUCUAUACAUUUUAUCCCUUCAUGGUGCUGAUAUAGUACUCGGGGUUUCGUGGCUUGCAACUUUGGGUUCUGUCCUUACUGAUUAUGCAAAAAGAAUAUUUGAAUUUACUCUGAAUGGUUCUAAGAUCUCGUGGAAAGGGGAUGCACCUACUGAUAUGCAACUGGUGCAAUUACAUAGUCUGAGAAGAAUGGCUGCUACAGACGCAAUUUCCUCCUAUUUUCAUCUACAAUUGGUAUCUGAUUCGGAACCUUCAUGUACUCUCCCCUCUAAAUUAGCAAUGGUGCUCAAUACAUAUGAAGAUGUCUUUCAAAAACCUCUAGGUUUGCCUCAUUCACGAAGUCAAGACCAUGCAAUCCAUCUAGUUUCAGGUGCAGGACCGGUUAAUGUAAAACCAUAUCGAUAUCCUUAUUUUCAAAAGUAGGUUAUGGAGCAGUUAGUGUCUGAAAUGCUAAAAGAAGGAACAAUCAGAACAAGUACUAGUCCAUUUUCCUCUCCAGUAUUGUUGGUUCGAAAAAAAGAUGGCAUGUGAAGGUUUUGUGUUGACUAUCGUGCAUUAAAUGCAAUCACAAUUCGUGAUAGAUUUCCAAUUCCUACAAUUGAUGAACUUUUUGAUGAAUUGAAUGGUGAUCGCUAUUUUUCCAAGUUGGAUUUAUUGUCUGGAUAUCAUCAAAUUAGGGUCCGUCCGGAGGAUGUCCCUAAGAUGGCAUUUCGCACUCAUGAUUGACAUUAUGAAUUUCUCGUCAUGCCAUUUGGCCUUACAAAUGCGCCCUCUACAUUUCAAGAAACUAUGAAUGAGAUAUUCAGACCUUACUUGCGUCGAUAUGUCCUGGUAUUCUUUGAUGACAUUUUGAUAUAUAGUCCUACUUGGACUGAUCACUUGGAACAUUUGGUCUCGGUUCUUCAAUUAUUGCGUCAAUUAUCAGUUGGUGGCCAAGCGGUCCAAAUGCUUCUUUGGACAGGAAUAAGUGGACUAUUUGGGACAUAUUAUUUCAUCUCAAGGAUUAUCUGUCGACCCAGGAAAAGUGGAAUCCAUCCAGCAAUGGGCACCACCUCGUACAGUGAAAGAAGUGUGGAGUUUUCUCGGCCUUGCAUGCUACUACCGACGAUUUAUCCACCAUUAUGCUUCCAUAGCAAGUUCAGUUACUGAUUUGCUAAAGAAAGAAGUUUUUCGAUGGACACCAGAAGCUCAAAUUGCAUUUGAAACUUUGAAGACUAAAUUGGGUUCCACUCCAGUAUUGGCAUUACCAGAUUUCAAUCAAGAAUUUCAAGUAGAGACUGACACUUUGGGGAAAGGAAUUGGUGCCAUUUCAUCUCAAACGGGGCACUCGAUUGCUUAUUUUAGUCAGAAAUUGAAUGCAAGGAUGCAACGGGCUUCAACAUAUCAUCGUGAGAUGUUUGCCAUUACUUAAGUUGUGAGUAAAUGGAGGCAACAUCUUCUUGAUAGAAGGUUUACAAUACUAACAGAUCAACAGUCUUUGAAGAACCUCACUAAUCAAAUCAUCCAAACUCCUGCGCAACAAAAAUGGCUCACUAAACUAGUGGGUUAUGAUUUUCAUAUCAUAUACAGGCCUGGGAAACAAAAUCCAGCCGUUGAUGUGCUCUCUCGUAAUUCAGAUGCUUCUCUUAUGGCCAUUUCUGCCAGGACCUUUAAUCUAGAACAAGAAUUGAAAUCCUUGAAUCAAUCACAUCCAGAACUAUUGGCUAUUCAGCAAGCUCUACAAAAAGAUGUGGAGACUCACAUGGAUUUCCAAUUCAAGAAUGGGUUGUUAAUUUUUAAAGGCAGGCUUGUGAUUCCAUCAGAUACACCACUACGACACAAGCUAAUGUUUGAAUUCCACGCCACGAAUAUCGGAGGACAUGCUGGUGUGGCAAGAACAUACCAUCGAUUGGCUUCAAAUUUUUAUUAGCGACAAAUGCGCAAGGAUGUGAAAUCAUUUGUUACAACUUGUCAGAUAUGUCAACAGAUGAAAGACACAAACUUGCAUCUAGCAGGUUUAUUGCAGCCUCUCCCUAUACCAGAUCAAGUCUUUGAAGAUAUCGCAAUGGAUUUUAUCACUUGCCUUCCAAGUUCCAAAGGGAAAACUACUAUCCUUACCGUGGUGGAUCGACUGACCAAAUAUGGUCAUUUUAUUCCCUUACCUUCCACAUUCUCUACUCAACUGGUAACUGAAGCAUUCGCAGUAGGUGUAAUUCGCCUUCACGGCCCUCCUCGCACUACUGUCACUGAUCGUGACCCACGAUUCCUCCAUUCUUUUUGGCAAGAAAUAAAUCGUUUGCAGGGUUCGACAUUGGCUAUGAGUACUGCAUAGCAUCCCCAAACUGAUAGACAGUCCGAAGCUCUAAAUAAGUGUCUUGAACAAUAUCUUCGUUGUUAUGUUGUUGAUGCUCCAACCAAGUGGGUAACCAUGCUGCCUUGGGCUGAAUUCUGGUAGAAUACUUCGUACCAAACAUUAGCUGGAAUGACACCGUUUAAAGUGUUAUAUGGACGAGAACCCCCAACUAUCGCUCGAUAUAUAUUGGGGAGCAUUGCUAGUGAAUUGGUGGAGGUCUACUUCAUUCAGCGUGAUGUAGUUCUAGCGUUGUUGAAAAAUAAUUUGCUCAAAGCUCAAACAAAGAUGAAGACGUUUACAGAUAAAGAUCGUACUAAUUUAGUGUUUACAGUGGGUGAUUGGGUUUUCAUAAAAUUGAAACCGUACCAACAACUUUCUAUGCGACUGCAAAAGGGACAUAAGUUUGGACGACGAUACUUUGGUCCUUUCAAGGUCAUCAAACGCAUUGGAGAGGUGGCAUAUAAAUUGGAGUUGCCUGUCGAGGCCAAGAUACAUCAUGUGUUUCAUGUUUCAGUACUUAAGCGUUGCUUGGGGGAGCCUAUCCAACAGGUAACACCAUUGCAGCUCCAAGAUUGUCCUGACCAGACUGAGAUAGAUGACUUCAACCUUGAGGACAAGGUCGAUUUUCAGCGCGGGAGUAAUGUUGUGAACUCAAUUGAGACAUCUGCUACUAUGAAUGAUAAGGAGGAUGAGGCUAGUGAUAUUCACAUUGACAAGCGACGUCGGAGUACUAGAAGUGUAAUUCCACCUAAAAGGUUGGACAGUUACUUUUGGGUAGGCAGAAAGCCACGUGUGCAAAGCGACGGUUAGUUACGGAAGUUGUAUAAAAGUGUGAAAACGUGGGUAGGAAAGGGUAGGCAGUUAAGUAUGAUUCUGAAAGUUCUCUCCCUCUUCUUCUAUCUUCUCAACCCAAUUCUAGGCUUCUAGUUUCAGAUUUCAAGUGUAUUUCCUUGUAUCAGUGUACUUACAGUUCCUUUGUUUGUGUCCUGCUGUAUUGUAAUUGUAGUCAGUAAAAC
rnacentral:lncRNA from 1 species